rnacentral:rRNA from 1 species
AUGGCGUCGGGAGAAGCGGCCAUGCAGACCUUCGUGCUGAGGGUGACCAUCCACUGCCAUGGCUGCAAGAAGAAGGUCCGGAAGGUGCUCAAGAGCAUCGAAGGUACUAGCGCCACCCUCCUCCUUCUCCUCGCGCCGCUGCAUUUUCGUGUGGCUUUCGGCUUAAUUGACUACCUAACUAAGUGGUCGUCGUUUUGGUUGGGAUGUUCAGGCGUGCAGGACGUGAAGGUAGACGCCCAGCUGCACAAGGUGAUGGUGACGGGCACCGUGGACGCCGAGACGCUCAUCAAGAGGCUGCACAAGUCAGGCAAGCAGGCCCUGCCAUGGCAACACACGCCUGCCAAGAAUCCCGACCCUGCGCCGCCAACCCCAGCCGACGCCCCCGCGCCGGCCGAGGACGGCAGCAAGGAUGCCGCUGUAGCGGACAAGAAGCCGGCGGAGGAGCCGCAGGCCGACAGCUCGGACAAGAGGCCGGAGCAGGAGACGGCCUCGGAGAAGAAGAAGCCUGAGACGGAGAAGGAAGCAGAAUCUGAGAAGAAGGCUGGCAAGGAGGAGGAGGCGAAACCAAGGUCAAGCGACGAGGAAAAGAAAGACGGCGGCGAGGGCGCGGCGGCCGAGCCCAAAGCAGAGGGCACCGAGCCCGCGAGUGAACCCGCUGCCGCCGCAAAGGAGGCCGGCGAUGAUGAGGGCGAGGCGAAGAAGAAACAGAGCAAGCCCAAGGACGCCGAUAGGUCCCUGUCCCCAGCGCCGGCGCCGGCCCAUGUGCCGAGGUACGCGCACCAGGAAUUCAACGCGCCGCAGCCGGUGAUGAGCUACAACAUGGCGCAGCCGAGGGCGAGCGUGUCCCACUACGCGCCGCAGCCGGAGCGGGGCUACUCGCAGCAGCAGGCCGGGUACUCCUCCUACUCCAUGAUGCAGCACCCACCGGCACCGGCGCAGCAGGCCUACUCCCAGCAGGCGCAGCCAAUGCAGCAAUGGUCGCCGUCGUACCUCUACAUGCCGUACCCGCACGCGUCGCCGGAGUCCUACUACCAGGACUACUAUAGCCCGCCCGGGACGCACGCGUCGCCGCCGCCCCCGCCGCCGCUCCACGACUCGUACCGCCUGUUCGACGACGAGAACCCCAACUCGUGCAGCGUCAUGUGA